GAGUCCCUGACCUGCUGCUAGGAUCGCGACGGGAACUGGAGCCCGAGGUCCCCGCGCGGCCCGGGCCUGGCGCCCUGAGGGGAAGAGCGGCCCGGCCCGAGGGUGCUGGGGUGGAGAGUUUUACUCCAAUACCUUUCCUAGCCAUGACGGACGGGAUCCUAGGGAAGGCAGCCACAAUGGAGAUCCCUAUCCACGGGAACGGCGAAGCCAGGCAGCUUCCUGAAGAUGAUGGGCUGGAGCAGACUUCCCUUGUGUACUAUCUUUAUGAUGCUUGAAUCCAAACUUGUUCCCACCUCCAAAAUGCUUCUGCAGCCCCUAUGUUCCUGAAGCAACCCCUCUUCUCUGGCCUAUAGGACCUCCAGCAGGUGAUGGUGUCAGGACCCAACCUCAAUGAAACCAGCAUUGUGUCUGGUGGCUAUGGGGGCUCUGGUGAUGGACUCAUCCCCACAGGGUCUGGCCGCCAUCCAUCUCACAGCACCACUCCUUCUGGCCCUGGAGAUGAGGUGGCUCGGGGCAUUGCUGGAGAAAAGUUUGACAUCGUCAAGAAAUGGGGCAUCAACACCUAUAAGUGCACAAAGCAACUGUUAUCAGAACGAUUUGGUCGAGGCUCACGGACUGUGGACCUGGAGCUAGAGCUGCAGAUUGAGUUGCUGCGUGAGACGAAGCGCAAGUAUGAGAGUGUCCUGCAGCUGGGCCGGGCACUGACAGCCCACCUCUACAGCCUGCUGCAGACCCAGCAUGCACUGGGUGAUGCCUUUGCUGACCUCAGCCAGAAGUCCCCAGAGCUUCAGCCCACAGGGAGAACCCCUUCAGGGUGGGCCCAGCCCUACCCCCAGCAGCACUCACCUGUGGAGGCAGCCUAAGGGAGGAAUUUGGCUACAAUGCAGAGACACAGAAACUACUAUGCAAGAAUGGGGAAACGCUGCUAGGAGCCGUGAACUUCUUUGUCUCUAGCAUCAACACAUUGGUCACCAAGACCAUGGAAGACACGCUCAUGACUGUGAAACAGUAUGAGGCUGCCAGGCUGGAAUAUGAUGCCUACCGAACAGACUUAGAGGAGCUGAGUCUAGGCCCCCGGGAUGCAGGGACACGUGGUCGACUUGAGAGUGCCCAGGCCACUUUCCAGGCCCAUCGGGACAAGUAUGAGAAGCUGCGGGGAGAUGUGGCCAUCAAGCUCAAGUUCCUGGAAGAAAACAAGAUCAAGGUGAUGCACAAGCAGCUGCUGCUCUUCCACAAUGCUGUGUCCGCCUACUUUGCUGGGAACCAGAAACAGCUGGAGCAGACCCUGCAGCAGUUCAACAUCAAGCUGCGGCCUCCAGGAGCUGAGAAACCCUCCUGGCUAGAGGAGCAGUGAGCUGCUCCCAGCCCAACUUGGCUAUCAAGAAAGACAUUGGGAAGGGCAGCCCCAGGGUGUGGGAGAUUGGACAUGGUACAUCCUUUGUCACUUGCCCUCUGGCUUGGGCUCCUUUUUCUGGCUGGGGCCUGACACCAGUUUUGCCCACAUUGCUAUGGUGGGAAGAGGGCCUGGAGGCCCAGAAGUUGCUGCCCUGUCUAUCUUCCUGGCCACAGGGCUUCAUUCCCAGAUCUUUUCCUUCCACUUCACAGCCAACGGCUAUGACAAAACCACUCCCUGGCCAAUGGCAUCACUCUUCAGGCUGGGGUGUGCUCCCUGACCAAUGACAGAGCCUGAAAAUGCCCUGUCAGCCAAUGGCAGCUCUUCUCGGACUCCCCUGGGCCAAUGAUGUUGCGUCUAAUACCCUUUGUCUCUCCUCUAUGCGUGCCCAUUGCAGAGAAGGGGACUGGGACCAAAGGGGUGGGGAUAAUGGGGAGCCCCAUUGCUGGCCUUGCAUCUGAAUAGGCCUACCCUCACCCACCCACCCAGUUUAAUUGUGCUUAGAGCCCAAGAAGAUUGGGAUCUAGCACUAGGAAUAAACCUUUCAUAAAAGCA